rnacentral:rRNA from 1 species
UACGGGGGGGGGCAAGCGUUGUUCGGAAUUACUGGGCGUAAAGGGCUCGUAGGCGGCCAACUAAGUCAGACGUGAAAUCCCCAGGCUUAACCUGGGAACUGCGUCUGAUACUGGAUGGCUUGAAUUCGGGAGAGGGAUGCAGAAUUCCAGGUGAUAGCGGUGAAAUGCGUAGAUAUCAGGAAGAACACCAAUGGCGAAAGCAGCUCUCUGGGACGGUACUGACGCUGAGACGCGAAAGCGUGGGGAGCGAACAGG